rnacentral:ncRNA from 1 species
CUUAUCGAGAGCGGUGGAGGGAACGGCCCUGUGAAACCCGGCAACCUGUCAGACUGAUGUGGUGCUAAAUCCGGCGGCAACGAAAGAUGAG